UUCACCUUCUCACAAUGAGGCUCCCUGCUCAGCUCCUGGGGCUGCUAAUGCUCUGGCUCCCUGGAUCCAGAGAGGAUAUUGUGAUGACCCAGACUCCACUCUCUCUGUCCGUCACUCCUGGAAAGCCGGCCUCCAUCGUCUGCAGGUCUAGUCAGAGCCUCUUUGAUAGUGAAGAUGGAAACACCUAUUUGAAUUGGUACCUGCAGAAGCCAGGCCAGUCUCCACAGCUCCUGAUCUAUGAUGCUUCCACCCAUGCCUCUGGAGUCCCAGACAGGUUCAGUGGCAGUGGGUCAGGCACUGAUUUCACACUGAAAAUCAGCCGGGUGGAGGCUGAAGAUGUUGGGGUUUAUUACUGCAUGCAAGCUCUACACUUUCCUCCCACAGUGGUACAGGCCCGAACAGAAACCUCCCUGCUGGGUGUCCCAGCUGCUCACAUGUGCUGCUUGUCUGGGGAGCAGCUCAGCAGGGUCUCUGAGUCUGCAGAAGAGGAGGCUGUUGGAGAAUUCAGGGCAGAGUUUGCUGCUGAGGACUCUGUCUGUGAUGACAGGGCCAGGGUCCUCCAGGAUGCCUUCCAGAGUCUCCUCCUUCCUCCACAGUCAGGGCACUCAAGCACCACAGACCCUCCAGUGUUGGCUGCCACAUCCUCCCCGGAGCAGCCACUAAAUUUCCCUGCUGUCUUCAUGGGUGCAGGGAAGCUCAGUCAUGUCACUAUAAGGGGAGCCUAG